rnacentral:rRNA from 1 species
UACGUAGGAGGCAAGCGUUGUCCGGAAUUACUGGGCGUAAAGCGCGUGUAGGUGGUGGGACAAGUCUGCUGUGAAAGCGCCUGGCUUAACCGGGCGAGGUCGGCGGAAACUGUCCGACUCGAGGACGGUAGAGGAGGGUGGAAUUCCCGGUGUAGUGGUGAAAUGCGUAGAGAUCGGGAGGAACACCUGUGGCGAAGGCGGCCCCCUGGGCCGGCCCUGACACUGAGACGCGAAGGCGUGGGGAGCGAACGGG